rnacentral:piRNA from 1 species
UCCUGAAGUAGUAGGGUUUGAUGUCAU